rnacentral:lncRNA from 1 species
GAAGAAAGAAAAACAGAAAAACAGGAAGAAAGAGGAAAGCUGCAUAUUAUAAUUGUUUCUUUACUUCCAUAGCAAUUUUAGGCUCUCUAUUCUUCAGCUACUUUCGGAUCUAUCCAGUACAUCCUUGCCAUAGUCUACAGAGUAGGUUCUGAAUAUAUCUUUGCAGAAUAAUGUCAUCAGCUAAUUGCAGGUAAGAAAUAAAAUGGCAUAUUUAAUUUCUAGAAAGUUAUUUUCUGUUAUAAUUAUUAACAAAACAUGCUACUAAAAAUAGAUUACUUGAAUCAAAGAGUUCAGCUCUAAAAGAUAGCA